AAAUAAGAAGCAAACAAUUGCAUUUAGUUUCGACCUAAAAAUUUGAUAAUAAUUAUCCUUAUUUA
rnacentral:tRNA from 1 species